UGGGGAAUUUUGGACAAUGGGGGCAACCCUGAUCCAGCCAUGCCGCGUGAGUGAAGAAGGCCUUCGGGUUGUAAAGCUCUUUCAGCCGGGAAGAAAACGCAUGGGUUAAUACCCUGUGUGGAUGACGGUACCGGAAUAAGAAGCACCGGCUAACUACGUGCCAGCAGCCGCGGUAAUACGUAGGGUGCGAGCGUUAAUCGGAAUUACUGGGCGUAAAGCGUGCGCAGGCGGUUUGUUAAGAUAGGCGUGAAAUCCCCGGGCUCAACCUGGGAACUGCGUUUAUGACUGGCAGGCUAGAGUAUGGCAGAGGGGGGUGGAAUUCCACGUGUAGCAGUGAAAUGCGUAGAGAUGUGGAGGAACACCGAUGGCGAAGGCAGCCCCCUGGGCCAAUACUGACGCUCAUGCACGAAAGCGUGGGUAGCAAACA
rnacentral:rRNA from 1 species